CGAAUCAGAAGAGUGUGGAAAUACGUACCGAGAACUGUUCCCACGCGUGUUUGGUUACAGACGAGGCUGUGGUUAAUGGUUAUCCCGGUUCUCGCCUGGAUCCCGUUGCUGAGGCUCGGGGUCUUCCCAGGGGUGGUCCAAGAGUUGUUGAACCUCGCAGGGGUGCCAGGGGUAAGUUGUGAGCGUUCCUUUACUUUGAGAGCUGCCAAGUGCCAGGCAAAAGGUGACGCCUGCCCCUCCACAGCUCUGAGACUCUCGACCUGCUAAUAGGUCCCAUGUCACUGCCUGGCCCCCCUUCCAUUCAGUGCAACUGCUGCGUGGAGCAAUCUGUACCAGCUUGUAAGGAAACCUUGUCACCAAUGCGUUCGGUUUGUGCUCUGCCUAUAGGCGAUGGUUACCAAACUUUUCAGCGGUAUCCAGUUCUCAUGCCUCAGGAGGAUCCCCAGGCUGUGGCCGUAGGGAGUGGAGAUCCCUCUUCUGCUCUGGAGCCUGGCCUGGAGACUCCGAGACAUCAUGGAGGUGUUCCUGUAGGCAGUGGCCUCCCAGCUUCUCAUCCGGAUGCCACUGUUAUGCCU